UGAAGUCGGAAUUGCUAGUAAUGGCAGGUCAGCAUACUGCCGUGAAUACGUUCCCGGGCCUUGUACACACCGCCCGUCACACCAUGAGAGUUGGAGAUACCCGAAGCCUAUGAGCUAACUUAUAGAGGCAGCAGUCGAAGGUAGAAUCAAUGAUUGGGGUGAAGUCGUAACAAGGUAAC
rnacentral:rRNA from 1 species